rnacentral:rRNA from 1 species
UAGCUAGAUUAAUAUUAAUUUGUAAUAAUCUCGAAGCCUAAAGAGCUAUUUUGCGGUACGGAGUAAGUGUGGCAUAACUUUUCUUAAACUGUAAGAUAGAAAUGAAAUGUUAUUCGUGUUAGGGGAUAGCUAGUUUUAGCAGAAAUGUAUAUAAGUACAGAAGUUGAAAGGGCUUGCUUUGAUUCAAUUAAAGCAUUAUACAUCAACAUUUGAGUUGCUUGAGGAUAAGCUCCGGUAACAUGCCUGUGUAAUAGACAGUAUGAAAAUAGAUUUAGGCUUGGAAUUAGCCAUAAUUGUGAGUUUGUUUCUAAAAAUUUAUUUUACAUUGUCUUGGGAAUGCGGGGCAUGUAUGCUAUAUAAGUUAUCUUUUUAGGGCAUGAUUAAACUUAUGCUAAGAUGAGUAUUGAAACUAAGCAGAAAUAGUAGUUAUAUUUUAAAAACUAAAUUUUGAUUUAUUAAAAAAUAAUAUAUGUAUAAGGAACUCGGCAAAAAUAAGCUUCGCCUGUUUAGCAAAAACAUGUCUCUUUG